rnacentral:rRNA from 1 species
UGAGGAAUAUUGGUCAAUGGGGGCAACCCUGAACCAGCCAAGUCGCGUGAAGGAUGAAGGUCUUAUGGAUUGUAAACUUCUUUUACACGGGAAUAAAGUGGGGGACGUGUCCCCCUUUGCAUGUACCGUGUGAAUAAGGAUCGGCUAACUCCGUGCCAGCAGCCGCGGUAAUACGGAGGAUCCGAGCGUUAUCCGGAUUUAUUGGGUUUAAAGGGUGCGCAGGCGGGAUGUUAAGUCGGCGGUGAAAUUUUGCAGCUCAACUGUAAAAGUGCCUUCGAUACUGGCCUGCUUGAGUGUGGAUGAAGUAGGCGGAAUUUGUGGUGUAGCGGUGAAAUGCUUAGAUAUCACGAGGAACUCCGAUUGCGCAGGCAGCUUACUAAGCCACAACUGACGCUCAUGCACGAAGGCGUGGGGAUCAAACA